rnacentral:miRNA from 1 species
AAUACAGGAUGCCCAGUGAAAUUUAAAAUUCAGGUAAGCAAUGAAACAUAUGUUAGCAUAAGUAUAUCUCAGGCAAUAUUUGGGACAUACUUAUACUAAAAGAAGUUCUUUGUCAUUUAUCUGCAAUUCAAAUUUCACUGGACAUCCUGUAUUUU